rnacentral:lncRNA from 1 species
CCUUGGGCUAACGUAGGCACUCUCGCAGUUCCUCCGCCUUCAGGAAGGUCUUUUUAGCAGGGGCCUUACGGGUGCAUGCUUCGGUCCUGGAGGACUUAGGCUAGCCUCCUCUCCAUCAGCGCCACCCGUCUGGGGCCCGAAAGGAGGGAGCUUUCCCUCUGUCCCCCAGCCUUUGGACUGUCACCAAACAAGCCAUUCGUUCACCAAAUACUUUUUAAGCGCCUACCAUGUGCCUGACAAGGGAUAUGUAACGGUGAGAAAAACUAGGUGUGGUCCAGGCCCUUCAGGGACUCAGGGGCUCGUGGAAGAAGUGGAUAUUGAAGUACUUAUCACACAAAGGAGGAUAAAAGUACGAUAGCGAUAUCUACCACGAAGAAACUCCUAGAGGGCAGAGGCAUGCCUGCCAUCUUCAUCAUUGCAUUACCAUCACCCAACACUAUCAGGGGACCUGCCCUGAUAAUCAGUCUACAGUUGUAUCCAGCAGCUCCAGAGAGACAGCGACCAGCAAGAAGGGGCCAUGAUGAUGGUGGUGGUUUUUUCAAAACGAAAAGGGGGAUAUGUAGGGAAAAGAAAGAGAGAUCAGACUCUUACAGACUCUUACUGUGUCUACAUAGAAAGGGAAGACAUAAGAGACUCCAUUUGGAAAAAGACCUGUACUUUAAACAAUUGCUUUGCUGAGAUGUUGUUAAUCUGUAGCUUUGCCCCAGCCACUUUGCCCCAACCACUUUGACCCAGUCUGGAGCUCACAAAAACAUGUGUUGUAUGAAAUCAAGGUUUAAGGCAUGUAGGGCUGUGCAGGAUGUGCCUUGUUAACCAAAUGUUUGCAAGCAGUAUACUUGGUAAAAGUCAUCACCAUUCUCUUGUCUCAAUAAACCAGGGGCACAAUGCACUGUGGAAAGCCGCAGGGACCUCUGCCCUUGAAAGCUGGGUAUUAUUCAAAGUUUCCCCCCAUGUGAUAGUCUGAAAUAUGGCCUCGUGGGAUGAGAAAGGCCUGACGGUCCCCUAGCCCGACACCCAUAAAAGGUCUGUGCUGAGGUGGAUUAGUCAAAGAGGAAAGACUCUUGCAUUUGAGAUAGAGGAAGGCCACUGUCUCCUGCCUGCCCCUGGGAACUGAAUGUCUCGGUAUAAAACACGAUUGUACAUUUGUUCAAUUCUGAGAUGGGAGAAAAACCGCCCUAUGGUGGGAGGUGAGACAUGUUUACAGCAAUACUGCCUUGAUAUUCUUUACUCCACUGAGAUGUUUGGGUGGAGAGAAACAUAAAUCUGGCUUACAUGCACGUUCAGUCAUAGUACCUUCCCUUGAACUUCAUUAUGACAUAGAUUCUAUUGCUCACAUGUUUGUUGCUGACCUUCUUAUUAUCACCCUGCCCUCCUACUACAUUCCUUUUUGCUGAAAUAAUAAAGAUAGUAUUCAAUAAAAACUGAGGGAACUCAGAGACCGGUGCCAGUGCAGGUCCUUGGUAUGCUAAGCGCCGGUACCCUGGGCCCACUGUUGUUUCUCUAUACUUUGUUUCUGUGUCUGAUUUCUUUUCUGUCUCUCAUCCCACCCAACAAGAAAUACCCACAGGUGUGGAGGGGCAGGCCACCCCUUCAGUAUGAG